rnacentral:sRNA from 1 species
AAAAAAAAAGCAAAAAAAAA